AGGGUUUGAUCAUGGCUCAGGAUGAACGCUAGCGGCAGGCUUAACACAUGCAAGUCGAGGGGUAACAGGGAAAAGCUUGCUUUUCCGCUGACGACCGGCGCACGGGUGCGUAACACGUAUGCAACCUACCUCUUACUGAGGAAUAGCCCAGAGAAAUUUGGAUUAAUACCUCAUAACACCACAAGAUCGCAUGAUCUAAUGGUUAAAGGUUACGGUAAGAGAUGGGCAUGCGGCCCAUUAGUUUGUUGGUGAGGUAAUGGCUCACCAAGACUACGAUGGGUAGGGGGUCUGAGAGGAUUAUCCCCCACACUGGUACUGAGACACGGACCAGACUCCUACGGGAGGCAGCAGUGAGGAAUAUUGCGCAAUGGACGAAAGUCUGACGCAGCCAUGCCGCGUGAAGGAUGACGGCGCUACGCGUUGUAAACUUCUUUUAUAUACCAAGAAACCUUCGGACGUGUCCGGAGCUGACGGUAGUAUAUGAAUAAGCACCGGCUAACUCCGUGCCAGCAGCCGCGGUAAUACGGAGGGUGCAAGCGUUAUCCGGAUUUAUUGGGUUUAAAGGGUCCGUAGGCGGAUCAUUAAGUCAGUGGUGAAAUCCGACAGCUCAACUGUCGAACUGCCAUUGAUACUGGUGAUCUUGAGUACGGUUGAAGUAGGCGGAAUAUGACAUGUA
rnacentral:rRNA from 1 species